UGCCUACGGGAGGCAGCAGUGGGGAAUAUUGCACAAUGGGGGGAACCCUGAUGCAGCGAUGCCGCGUGAAGGAAGAAGAUUUUCGGAUCGUAAACUUCUGUUCUUAGUGAAGAAAAAUGACGGUAGCUAAGGAGCAAGCCACGGCUAACUACGUGCCAGCAGCCGCGGUAAUACGUAGGUGGCAAGCGUUGUCCGGAAUUACUGGGUGUAAAGGGAGCGCAGGCGGGAAGCCAAGUCAGCUGUGAAAACUACGGGCUUAACUUGUAGACUGCAGUUGAAACUGGUUUUCUUGAGUGCAGUAGAGG
rnacentral:rRNA from 1 species